CCAUGACAACACACCAUUAAGCCAUGUUAUAAUAUAAUACUACCUUCAACAACACACCAUUAACCCAAUGAGCUACAUACGUCCGUGGUGUACCAUUGCAUUUAUCCAUUUCUUCUGCAUCCGUAGAUACCAACCAUUAGUAUGUGAGAUUAAUUGAGGCUGAGCUAGUGGUGUUUGAGACACCCCCGAAUAGUUUGUAGCUCAAACUAUUAAAAGCGGUUUAUGAAAAGACUCAUGAACAUGUGACAUGUUUUGCUCUAUGAUGCCCACAAGCCACAGAAGAGUCAGUCAUUAGAAGGUAAGGUGUAGGAAAUCACAGAAAAUGUGUCAAUAAUACUGUAAUAAGCUCACAGUUGCUGUCACAAACUCCAAACAGUUGUCACUGACUAGUGGACAUUCAUUUCCCAAUGAGGAAACUAUUUAUGUACUUACAGCAUUCGUAUAAAUACAUUUUUGAAACAGGUUUUUACUUUGGCAGACCUUAUUUUUGUUAUUGACAUUUGUGAAUAAAAUUCAUGAAUGCAACUAUUUGUCAAAUUGUUUUGUGUUCUACUUACAGCCCUGGUUACCCUGAAAAUAGUAAAAACACUUCAUUGUGAGGCUAUAUAUAAAAGGGCUGGACAGCCACAUAAAUGAAGGUCAGAUAAGUCUGACAGGGUUAUAAUAAUACAGUAACACCUUCAACACAAGAGGUCGACCGAUUAUGAUUUUUCAACGCCGAUAACGAUUAUUGGAGGACCAAAAAAAGCUGAUGGCGAUUAAAUGGGCUUUUUAUUUAUUUUUGAUAUAUAUGAAAUAAUGACAACUACAACAAUACUGAAUGAACAAUUAACACUUCUUUUAACUUAAUAUAAUACAUAAAUGAAAUCUAUUUAGUCUCAAGUAAAUAAUGAAACAUGCCUAAUUUGGUUUAAAUAAGGCAAAAACACAGUGUUGAAGAAAGCAAAAAAUAUUCCCAGUAAAGAAAUAUUAGGUUGCAGUUAUUAUAGGAAUUAUGACGCGUUGACUAUUUCUCUCUAUACCAUUUGUAUUUCAUAUACCUGACUAUUGGAUGUUCUAAUAGGCACUUUUGUAUUGCCAGCCUAAUCUCAGGAGUUGAUAGGCUUGAAGUCAUAAACAGAGCUGUGCUUCAAGCAUUGCUAAGAGCUGCUGGCAAACGCAGGAAAGUGCUGUUUGAAUGAAUGCUUACGAGCCUGCUGCUGCCUACCACCGCUCAGUCAGACUGCUCUAUCAAAUCAUAGACAUAAUUAUAAUAAACACAGAAAUUACGAGCCUUUGGUCAUUAAUGUGGUCAAAUCCGGAAACUAUCAUUUCAAACAUUUUAUCGAACGGGUAGCAACCCUAAUUCUAAAUAUUGCUGUUACAUUGCACAACCUUCAAUGUUAUGUACAAUUCUGGCAAAUUAGUUUGCAACGAGCCAGGCGGCCCAAACUGUUGAAUAUACCCGAACUCUGCGUGCAAUGAACGCAAGAGAAGUGACACAAUUUCCCUAGUUAAUAUUGCCUGCUAACAUUAAUUUCUUUUAACUAAAUAUGCAGGUUUAAAAAUAUAUAUACUUCUGUGUAUUGAUUUUAAGAAAGGCAUUGAUGUUUAUGGUUAGGUACAUUCGUGCAAUGAUUUUGCUUUUGUUAAAUCAUUACCCGCUUGGCGAAGUAGGCUGUGAUUCGAUGAUGAAUUAACAGGCACUGCAUUGAUUAUAUGCAACGCAUGACAAGCUAGUUAAACUAGUAAUAUCAUCAACUAUGUGUAGUUAACUAGUGAUUAUGCGAAGAUUGUUUUUUUUUUUUUACAAGAUAAGUUUAAUGCUAGCUAGCAACUUACCGUGGCUCCUUGCUGCACUUGCGUAACAGGUGGUCAGCCUGCCACCCAGUCUCCUCGUGGAAUGCCAUAAUGUAAUCAGCCAUAAUUGGUGUCCAAAAAUGCAGAUUUAACGAUUGUUAUGAAAACUUCAAAUCGGCCAUGUAGAUUAAAUCGGUCGACCUCUAGUGAACACACCAUUAAGCCAUUUUACAAUAUGAUACAGGGUUUUUCCUGUAUCAGAAGGGGCUUAGGUGGCGGGCGUUAGCGCGGCAACAUUGCUUAGAACAUUUUAGAGGUCCCCAUCUUGGCGGUGUAGAGAAACUGUUGCAUUUAAGCCAAUUUCCUGCAAUUCUACAAAUUAUUGCUGUUUUAAAGCUAGUUUGUUGUAAUUCUAUAUUAUAAACAGAAAAAUAAUACAGUAAUACACACCAUUAAGAUAUUUAAUUAUAAUUAGGGUCAGGAGUUUUUCCUGGGUAGGAAAAUCUCUAGACAUAAAAUAUUUGUGCUUUGAAAGUCACUGGUCAAUUGCUAGCAAGCCAUGCUGGAGACUACUAAAACAGAACAGUGGAAUUAACUGGUGUUUUCCCCCAACUAGCGUUACUAAUGAAAAGGUCUAACAAUGUGACGACAACAAAUGACAUUAGCUUUCAUAGCAUACUAAUAAAUCCUUUCCGUUUUGCUUCACAGUGCACAUAGCACAAUAGAAAGAAGUCCUCUUGGUGUGUGUGUGUGUUCUAAAUGUUUUCAUAUGUGUGCACUCUGGAGAGAAUAAUAACCUUGUGUGUGAUGUUGUAAUAAUUGUUGUGUCAUUUAGAUUGUCAAAACAAAACAAUGAAUAAACAAUUCAAAGUCAAAAAGCCUCCAGAGCAUUACUGGCAUUUUUGUCCACGAGAAGCGCAUUUCAGUCAGUCCCACGAGAAGCGCAUUUCAGUCAGUCCCACGAGAAGCGCAUUUCAGUCAGUCCCACGAGAAACGCAUUUCAGUCAGUCCCACGAGAAUACGCAUUUCAGUCAGUCCCACGAGAAUACGCAUUUCAGUCAGUCCCACGAGAAUACGCAUUUCAGUCAGUCCCACGAGAAUACGCAUUUCAGUCAGUCCCACGAGAAACGCAUUUCAGUCAGUCCCACGAGAAACGCAUUUCAGUCAGUCCCACGAGAAACGCAUUUCAGUCAGUCCCACGAGAAACGCAUUUCAGUCAGUCCCACGAGAAUACGCAUUUCAGUCAGUCCCACGAGAAUACGCAUUUCAGUCAGUCCCACGAGAAACGCAUUUCAGUCAGUCCCACGAGAAUACGCAUUUCAGUCAGUCCCACGAGAAUACGCAUUUCAGUCAGUCCCACGAGAAUACGCAUUUCAGUCAGUCCCACGAGAAUACGAAUUUCAGUCAGUCCCACGAGAAACGCAUUUCAGUCAGUCCCACGAGAAUACGCAUUUCAGUCAGUCCCACGAGAAUACGCAUUUCAGUCAGUCCCACGAGAAUACGCAUUUCAGUCAGUCCCACGAGAAACGCAUUUCAGUCAGUCCCACGAGAAACGCAUUUCAGUCAGUCCCACGAGAAACG